rnacentral:rRNA from 1 species
AAGACGCCAGAACAGCUCAUGUUAAACACCCCUAAAUAAAGGAAAAAACCAAAUGAACCCUGCUCUAAUGUCUUUGGUUGGGGCGACCGCGGGGAAAUACAAAACCCCCAUGUGGAAUAGGAAUACUAUGUUCCUAAAUCCAAGAGCUCCCGCUCUAAUAAACAGAACUUCUGACCAACUAGAUCCGGCAAUGCCGAUCAACGGACCGAGUUACCCU